rnacentral:rRNA from 1 species
GUGGUGAAUCUUCUUUGCUUAACAAGGAAAUUGCCAUUGAAACUGUUAGACUUGAGAAUGGACGAGGUAGGCGGAAUUCGUAGUGUAGCGGUGAAAUGCAUAGAUAUUACGAAGAACUCCAAUAGUGUAGACUGCUUACCAGACCAUAUCUGACACUAAGGCACGAAAGUGUGGGUAUCAAACAGGAUUAGAUACCCUGGUAGUCCACACAGUAAACGAUGAAUACUAACUGUUUGCGAUAUACAGCAAGUGGUCGAGCGAAAGCGUUAAGUAUUCCACCUGGGAAGUAUGCCGGCAACGGUGAAACUCAAAGGAAUUGACGGGGGCCCGCACAAGCGGAGGAACAUGUGGUUUAAUUCGAUAAUACGCGAGGAACCUUACCCGGGCUCGAACGAUAUUUGAAUACAUCCGAAAAGAUGUAGCUAGCAAUAGCAAAUACCGAGGUGCUGCAUGGUUGUCGUCAGCUCGUGCCGUGAGGUGUCGACUUAAGUGUCAUAACGAGCGCAACCCUUACCGAUAGUUACCAUCAGAUAAUGCUGGGGACUCUAUUGGGACUGCCACCGUAAGGUGUGAGGAAGGAGAGGAUGACGUCAAAUCAGCACGGCCCUUAUGUCCGGGGCGACACACGUGUUACAAUGGGAGAAACAAAGGGUCGCUACCUGGCAACAGGAUGCUAAUCUCGAAAAUCUCUCUCAGUUCGGAUUGGAGUCUGCAACUCGACUCCAUGAAGCUGGAUUCGCUAGUAAUCGCACAUCAGCCAUGGUGCGGUGAAUACGUUCCCGGGCCUUGUACACACCGCCCGUCAAGCCAUGGAAGCUGGAAGUACCUGAAGUAUGUAACUAAAAGAGCGU